rnacentral:rRNA from 1 species
GACGAACGCUGGCGGCGCGCUUAACACAUGCAAGUCGAGCGAAGCGGCGGACGGGUGAGUAACCCGUGAGUAACCUGCCUUAGACAUUGGGAUAGCCUCGGGAAACCGGGAUUAAUACCAAAUGGUCUAAGAUGGACUCGCGUCCCAUUAGCUAGUUGGUGAGGUAACGGCCCACCAAGGCGACGACGGGUAGCCGGCCUGAGAGGGUGAACGGACACAUUGGAACUGAGAAGCGGUACAAACUCUACGGGAGGGAGCAGUGGGGAAUAGUGCAAAAUGGAGGGAACUCUGAUGGAGCGAGGACGCGUGAACGAAGAAGGCUUUCGAGUAGUAAAGUGCUUUUAUAUGGGAAGCGGUACCAUAAGAAAAAGCCCCGGCUAACUACGUGCCAGCAGCCGCGGUAAUUC